GAUGAACGCUAGCGGCAGGCCUAAUACAUGCAAGACGAACGGUAAGUUGAGUAGCAAUACUUAGCCAAGAGUGUCGUACGGGUGCGUAACACGUAUGCAACCUACCCUAUACAGGAGGAUAGCCUAGGGAAACCUGGAUUAACCCUUCAUAGUAUUAUUGGAUGGCAUCAUUUGAUAAUUAAAACUGAGGUGGUAUAGGAUGGGCAUGCGUCUGAUUAGUUAGUUGGCGGGGUAAUGGCCCACCAAGACGAUGAUCAGUAGGGGUUCUGAGAGGAAGAUCCCCCACACUGGCACUGAGAUACGGGCCAGACUCCUACGGGAGGCAGCAGUAGGGAAUAUUGGUCAAUGGAUGCAAGUCUGAACCAGCCAUGCCGCGUGCAGGAAGAAGGCCUUCUGGGG
rnacentral:rRNA from 1 species